rnacentral:rRNA from 1 species
UAAACGACUCUCGGCAACGGAUAUCUCGGCUCACGCAUCGAUGAAGAACGUAGCAAAAUGCGAUACUUGGUGUGAAUUGCAGAAUCCCGUGAACCAUCGAGUUUUUGAACGCAAGUUGCGCCCGAAGCCUUUUGGCCGAGGGCACGUCUGCCUGGGCGUCAAAC